GUGGGGAAUAUUGCACAAUGGGGGAAACCCUGAUGCAGCGACGCCGCGUGGGGGAUGAAGGCCUUCGGGUUGUAAACUCCUUUCGCUAGGGACGAAGCUUUUUGUGACGGUACCUGGAGAAGAAGCACCGGCUAACUACGUGCCAGCAGCCGCGGUAAUACGUAGGGUGCGAGCGUUGUCCGGAAUUACUGGGCGUAAAGGGCUCGUAGGUGGUGUGUCGCGUCGUCUGUGAAAUUCCGGGGCUUAACUCCGGGCGUGCAGGCGAUACGGGCAUGCUUGAGUGCUGUAGGGGUAGCUGGAAUGCCUGGUGUAGCGGUGAAAUGCGCAGAUAUCAGGCAGAACGCCGAUGGCGAAGGCAGGUUACUGGGCAGUUACUGACGCUGAGGAGCGAAAGCAUGGGUAGCGAACAGGAUUAGAAACCCGUGUAGUCC
rnacentral:rRNA from 1 species